rnacentral:rRNA from 2 species
AACGCUGGCGGCGUGCGUAACACAUGCAAGUCGAACGAGAAUGUACUGACAGAUCCUUAGGGUGAAGAUAGUACAGGACAGUGGCGGAUGGGUGAGUAACGCGUAAGAAACCUGCCUUUCACACCGGGAUAGCAGCUGGAAACGGCUACUAAUACCGGAUGACACUUUUUCCCCGCAUGAGGAAGAGGUUAAAGAAUUUCGGUGAAAGAUGGUCUUGCGUCUGAUUAGCUAGUUGGUGGGGUAACGGCCUACCAAGGCGACGAUCAGUAGCCGGCCUGAGAGGGUGUACGGCCACAUUGGGACUGAGACACGGCCCAAACUCCUACGGGAGGCAGCAGUGGGGAAUUUUGUACAAUGGAGGAAACUCUGAUGCAGCGACGCCGCGUGAACGAAGAAGGUCUUCGGAUUGUAAAGUUCUGUCCUGGGUGAAGAUAAUGACGGUAACUCAGGAGGAAGCCCCGGCUAACUACGUGCCAGCCGCCGCGGUAA